rnacentral:rRNA from 1 species
UACGAAGGGGGCGAGCGUUGUUCGGAUUUACUGGGCGUAAAGGGCGCGUAGGCGGCGCUUCAAGUCGCGUGUGAAAGCCCCGGGCUCAACCUGGGAAUGGCGCUUGGGACUGGUUGGCUUGAGUUCGGGAGAGGAGAGUGGAAUUCCCAGUGUAGAGGUGAAAUUCGUAGAUAUUGGGAAGAACACCGGUGGCGAAGGCGGCUCUCUGGACCGAGACUGACGCUGAGGCGCGAAAGCGUGGGGAGCAAACAGG